UACGGAGGGUGCAAACGUUGCUCGGAAUUACUGGGCGUAAAGCGCACGUAGGCGGACUCUUAAGUCGGGGGGUGAAAGCCCAGGGCUCAACCCUGGAAUUGCCUUCGAUACUGGGAGUCUUGAGUGUGGAAGAGGUUGGUGGAACUGCGAGUGUAGAGGUGAAAUUCGUAGAUAUUCGCAAGAACACCAGUGGCGAAGGCGGCCAACUGGUCCACUACUGACGCUGAGGUGCGAAAGCGUGGGGAGCAAACAGGG
rnacentral:rRNA from 1 species